rnacentral:lncRNA from 1 species
GGAGGCUGUAGAUGCUGAAGUAUUUCCAUGGGCUCAAGGAUUUCGGAGCUGAGUGCCUUAAGAGUUCCUAGCUUCAGACAGGAAGAUGGCUAUUCCUCUGGGUUUAGAGUUCAUAAGUCAUCACCAAUUCUUCAGUACUGCUGGUUCCAUGUCUUAUAAUCAUAUGACAACUGUAAAAUAUUGGCAUUAAAAAAGAGAGGCUUUUGUUUGAGGAAGAUAUCUGGGGUCAUUAAAAGGGCGUCUCCGCCUUCCUGAGAAAUCAGGAAGCUUGACAACCUGAGAAGUCAGGAGGCAUGACAACCUGUGUUGUUCUUGAAGCAGAGUUAUGGCAAGGAAACAUCUGCACACAAUAGCAAGUUGUUUAUGUGGUCCUGCAUGUGCAGUAUCCUAAUAAACAGACUCUGUUAGACCAUCCUCAUGAGUUCCGCCUCAUCACUCCUCACCCAUGAUCAGGACUUGGGCUGGUACCGAAGACCUCCCGUGGGCAGGUCCAGACAAAAUCCAACCUCAGACACCUACUAGUUGUUUGAGCCUGCGCAAGUCACUUAACCCUGAUUUGUCUAGGUUUCCUGGAGCUAGAAAAGGAAAUGGCAAAGCAUGUCAAUAUUUCUGCUAAGAAAACCUCAGGUGCAAGAUGGCCUGACCAUCCACACAGGAAAUAUCAAGUGGAUAAAGAAUUAUUUCAUCUGCUUAGAUAAUGACAAUUCUAAAAGAGUCACACACAACUGAAGAGAUUCAACAACAACAGCAAGAGUGAGCUUGGCAACCAGGAAACUCUGGCAAGUCAUUAACCUGCUUUAUCUUUGUGUUCACCAUUUCCUUUGACAAAUGUAAACAAUACCACCUUCUCUACCAAUGCUCUCACAGGUUCACUGCAGCUGUGUAGCUCAUACAAGGUGGCUGGUCUUCCCACAUUCAAGAUGGAAUUAGUUGGAGUCAAAGCAGACAAAGGAAUCCUCCUUUCAAAGUAAAUAUUAAAAGGAAGAUGAGAUCAAAUAUUUUUCAGUCCUUGAAAUAAUCUGCAAGUCACCUUUAUACAUAAAAAAU